rnacentral:lncRNA from 1 species
GAUGGAUGUUUUAGCUAAAGCGUUUCAGCUGGAUGUGUUAGGUUUCUCGAAGGAAGGUUUUCUUCUAAUUAUGAUUAUCAUUAAUAAUAAGUUUGAAGAAGGGAAUAUUUCGAUUCUACCACAAGUUUGAUACCAAAGAAAAGUUAAAAGAAUGACGCGAAAAUUUAAAAUAUGAAUAAAUGGUGUGUGAAAACUAAAACAAAACAAUUAAGGUGGUAAAGACGUGUUAUCAUCACUCUCUC